rnacentral:misc_RNA from 1 species
GGACUUCCAAACUCAUCCAAGACAACAUUUCUCCCCCUAGGACCAAGAGUAAGCCCAACAGCAUCAGCAAGCUUAUCAAUGCCUGCCUGAAGUGCAGUCCUUGAGUUCUGGUCAAAGGCAAUAUCUUUGGCAUUAGCUCGCACUGUGAAUCUUCUGACUGAUUGCCCAUAAUUCAGCCUUUGAUUCUGCUGUUGAUUCAGUCUCCUCCUCAAGCUCCACUGUUUAGGAGAGCAAAGAAUUGAAGCUGAGGAGACAGCAUUAGAAGUUGCCAUUUCCAGAAUCACNNNNNNNNNGCACAGAAAGUAGGGUUUCUGUGGUUUAAGCUCGUUGAUGGUGAGCGUGCGGAUAAGGAGAGUAGGUAAGUUCUAAACCCUAA